CUGGCGCUCGACUGGAAGCUGCAAGCGCUCGAACGGCUAAGGGAUGAUUUUGCAAGUGCUCAAGAGGAUUGCGCGUGUUGUGCGAUUUCCUGACGAGAUUUGGACAGAUUUUCUCCUUGCUUUAUGGUCUUGUAUGUUUCCUAUUCCUAGUUAACUUGUAACUAAAGUCCUAUACAUUAUAAAUAGGACGAUUAGGGUUAGAUUAACAAAGGGGAGAAGAGAAGAUGUAACACAUGACAAAAUUCAAAGGUGAAUUCUUGAGUGUUUACAAGGGCAUCAAAUGGUUUGAGCAAGGGGAGAAAAAAGAGAUCUAGGGUUCUUGGGAGAGCUAAGGGGGUUCAGUUGUAACCAAAGUUGUUCUUACAUACUAGUGCAUUUCUUGGGUGGAUCACCAACAAGACGUAGGCGACCGAAGCUCUAUAAAUAUUUGUGACCUUGUGUGUUUGUUUUACUCCCUUCGUGGUGUGUGUUUUAUUCUCAAGGAGUUUGUGUGUGUGCCGUUGCAUAGUCCACCAAUGACAAGGUCUUGGAGUGUUUUUGCACAAUAGGAGCACCUACCCUCCACACACAAAUUCCCUCAACC
rnacentral:lncRNA from 1 species